rnacentral:piRNA from 1 species
UGCAAGUCUUACAUGAUCUGCUUCUGCUUUU